UACAGAGGGUGCGAGCGUUACUCGAAAUGACUGGGCGUAAAGGGUGCGUAGGUGGUUGUUUAAGUUAGGUGUGAAAGUCCUGGGCUUAACCUGGGGAUUGCGCCUAAUACUGAGUAGCUAGAGUACUGUAGAGGGAAGUGGAAUUUCCGGUGUAGCGGUGAAAUGCGUAGAUAUCGGAAGGAACAUCAGUGGCGAAGGCGACUUCCUGGACAGAUACUGACACUGAGGCACGAAAGCAUGGGGAGCAAACAGG
rnacentral:rRNA from 1 species